UCCGAAGUAGUCGUAUAGGGAUGGG
rnacentral:piRNA from 1 species